GUGCCAAAGAACCUGCUGAAAUCAAGGGAUUUUCAAGAGGAGUGUAUUCUUUCAGCGAUUCUGCCCAGUGGAGUUACCAUGUUUCCUUCCCAGAAGUAGCCACCAUUCCUCUUGUCCUCUUGAAGAGGCUACAUGAGCAGACAACAGUUGAAUCACUUCGCCAUCCUAUUAAGUGUUUGAUAGACCAGGUGACGGAGAACAAGGAUUUUAUAGAAAGGAAAAGAGAGGUUGUAUCCUUUUCACCAAAUGAUAAGGCGUCAGUUGAUAGCUUCCUUCAGGAGGAGAAGGUCAGCAGAACCGCUUCAUUCACUCGGUUCUAUGCAUCCGUAGCUGAAAACCGUCAACCAAAAUGUAAUGUCAUAAAUCUCUACUACUCCUUAUGUCUUUAGUGUAGGCGUCCACAUCUCUUUGUUCUACCAUCGCGCGCUCCGCCCGCGAUUCCCCUCCCCGCGCCCGCAGUCCCCGCCGCCAUCCUCGCGGCCGCAGCCGAGCACAGCCGCCACGCCCGCAGUCCCCGCGCCAGCAACGCUCGCAGUCCCCGCCGCCGUCCUCGCGGCCGCAGUCCACGCGGAAUGCCGGACAGGGACGUCGUGGCCCCCGCGGGCGGCGGUGACCGGAAGGCGGCCAAGCUCGGGAGCUGGAGCAGCAUGAGCAGCAACUGCGGCAGCAAGAAGCGGAAGAGCAGCAGCAGCAGCUUCGGGAGGAGAUCCACAUCCACCUGCGAGGAAAGGCAGGGGGUCUUCCGCAUGCUCAUGAGCUGGAACCAGGAGAGCCGGUUCAGCAAGAAGAUCAAGACGACGACGAGCAAAGAAAGAUGAACGAAACGAAGUGUUCUUAGCUUGGUGUGACUAUUCGGGGGUUGCUUGCUGGAGGGUUUUUGUUCGUUUAGUGUCUAGCCUUAGCUUACUUAUUACUUUUGUUAGUACUCUACUAGCAGAGUACAUGCAUAGAGUCAGUGGUGUGGCUGUGGCGUGGAUCAGAUCAUUGAUUUGAUCGAGCUGUACAAAUAGCGAGGCGAUACAUGUCACUGAGUUGAUCAGUUGACAAGGUGGUUUGGACCAUGUUGAGGCACGGAGAAACUUCAUCCCUAAGUUUUAGUUUGUCUGGCUUUGCUCGUCAUUUUGUACUUGUUCUUCUCA